GAUGAACGCUGGCGGCGUGCCUAAUACAUGCAAGUCGAGCGAACGGACGAGAGGCUUGCUUCUCUGAUGUUAGCGGCGGACGGGUGAGUAACACGUGGAUAACCUACCUAUAAGACUGGGAUAACUUCGGGAAACCGUAGCUAAUACCGGAUAAUAUUUUGAACCGCAUGGUUCAAAAGAGGAAGACGGUCUUGCUGUCACUUAUAGAUGGAUCCGCGCUGCAUUAGCUAGUUGGUAAGGUAACGGCUUACCAAGGCAACGAUCCGUAGCCGGCCUGAGAGGGCGAUCAGCCACACUGGGACUGAGACACGGCCCAGACUCCUACGGGAGGCAGCAGUGGGGAAUCUUGCGCAAUGGGCGAAAGCCUGACGGAGCAACGCCGCGUGAGUGAUGAAGGUCUUCGGGUCGUAAAACUCUGUUAUUAGGGAAGAACAUAUGUGUACGUAACUGUGCACAUCUUGACGGUACCUAAUCAGAAAGCCCCGGCUAACUACGUG
rnacentral:rRNA from 1 species